UACAGAGGGGGCAAGCGUUGUUCGGAAUUACUGGGCGUAAAGGGCGCGUAGGCGGCCUGCUAAGUCGAACGUGAAAUCCCUGGGCUCAACCCAGGAACUGCGUCCGAUACUGGUUGGCUUGAAUCCGGGAGAGGGAUGUGGAAUUCCAGGUGUAGCGGUGAAAUGCGUAGAUAUCUGGAGGAACACCGGUGGCGAAGGCGAAAUCCUGGACCGGUAUUGACGCUGAGGCGCGAAAGCCAGGGGAGCAAACGGG
rnacentral:rRNA from 1 species